UUAAGUUCAGCGGGUAUUCCUACCUGAUCCGAGGUCAACCUUGAUAUGUUUUGGUGUUUUACGGCAAGCGCCCGCCGCCACGCCCAGAGCGAGAUAUUGCUACUGCGCUCGGUGUGACAGCGAGCCCGCCACUGGUUUUAGGGGUCUGCGGCAGCCGCAGGGCCCCAACGCAAGCCCGGGGGCUUGAUGGUUGAAAUGAC
rnacentral:misc_RNA from 1 species